rnacentral:misc_RNA from 1 species
UCAGUCGCUUAAACAUAAAACAAAGUGAAGCUCAGAGGCUAACUCAUCAAUAUGAAUAACUCUAAAGACACUGGCUGGUCAUGGCUUAUCUGUGUUGGGUCNUUNNUCUGUAACCUCGUCAUCGGAGCCCAGAUGAAUUGUAGUGGAGUUUUCAUGUCAGCUUUCGUCGACANUUACAAAGUGUCAAGAGGAGAAGCAGCUUGGGUUGCUGUUCUCGCCUCGUCGGCCGCUUACUUCUUUGCUCCACUUAGUACCUCACUCUGCAAUCGGAUUGGUAGCAGAAUGACAGUUGCCAUGGGAACCAUCAUCUGUAUGGUAGCUAUGGUGUCAUCGUCUUUUCAUUCAAGUUUCAAAGCUCUGUACUUUACUUUCGGGAUUUUGUGGGGCCUUGGGGCCAGCCUGUCUUACUAUCCAAACUUUGUCAUNUUAUCGNAAUAUUUCGANAAGANAAUCNCACUGGCAAAUGGUAUUUCGACCUCUGGGUCAUCAAUCGGUACGAUUGCAUUGUCGCCUUUGAUCCAGUAUGCGUUUAAACAAUUUGGACUGAGUAACGGUUUUCGCAUCCUUGCUUGUUUUCACAUUCUGUUGNUCAUCCCAGUGUGUUUAUAUCGACCUCGCGAAGCAGACAAAACUGCAAAAAUAUCGAGAACUUCAAAAACGUGUAGCGACGAAGAUGUACUGAAAAACACCAAGUAUUGGAUUUGGGUCGUUGCAAUGAUUUUCUUUCAACUGAAUUACAUGGUUCCCCUUGUUCAUGUGGUCCGUCUAGGAGAAGAUAUUGGUGCAAGCAAGAUCACUGCUUCACUACUUAUCAGCAUCAUGGCCGGGGGUUCAUUAAUAGGACGCGUAGCAUUUGGUCGCGUGGCUGACCUGAAAUGUUUAAGCCGGAUAAACAUUAUGCAANUCGCUCUUCUCUGCAUCGCGGUUUCUACUACACUUGCACCAUUCUCACCAUCAUUCAUUUGGCUUGCCCUCUACGGCGCUGUAUUUGGACUCAAUGAGGGAAUAUACAUAAUGCUUUUCAUGGUAAUAACUAAAGAUAUCGUGGGUGCUGACCAUCUGGCCUUCGCUUUUGGCAUUCUCUAUUCGAUUUUGUUCGUCCCAAAAACCGUGGGACCACUUUUCGCGGGCUUCAUGUUCGAUAGCUAUCAAAGUUACGUUCUCCCUUUCAUGGUAAUGGGAGGUGUAACAGCUCUUGCGGCGAUCUUGUUGUUUCUUAUUCCCGCCAAAACAUCAAAGGAAACAAACGUAGAUGAUGAGCCAGAGACUGAAAUCAUAGUAUGCCGGGAAACGAGUGUGUGACACGGUUCAGUAUACAUUGGUGACAAAAUGAAUAUUUUUGUGCAUAUUUUUUUAAUACUAAAAGGGGCGACUCUGGGGUAAGGGGUUUGUUGGUUUAUACGAAUCUUUUAAACGAACCCUUAAAAAAAUAACUCGUAAAAAGCCUAAAUGAAAGGUCCAGGCCAAUGCAACCGUUGUUGGCAAAUCCUGAGUUUCACAUGACGUCAUUUCCGGUCUGGUGCGGAAUGUUCAACAGAUGAAAACUUUAGAGCGAAAACAGAGGCUUUUGAAAACCCUGACGUCAUUCACACUGGCACGUCUGUAUCUCGCAUGCGCAGAUAAUGACAUUACUGCAUCAUUUUCGAUCGUAUCUGCGUUUUUGAAAACGCUAUAGAAGCACUAGUAUGGACAGUACGUGAAGCUUUCGAUGCGUUUUCGGCGAGAUGAAAACGGAACGUUUCGAAAAAGCAUUAGUGUGGAGGUUAUUUGGUAACUGAUUGGAACACAGCGAUAUUAGUCAUUCCGAGGUUGUUGGAAAAACUGGGUCGAGUUGACAUUGCAGUGCAUUGUGGGGCUGUUUAAGGACAUAUUUCCAUGAUGGCUUUUACUUCGGCAAAGCAACGCAAUGUAAUAACAAUUCAACCCAGUUUUUUUUCGAACUCGGAAUGGCUGACUCCGCGAGAUUAUAUUCUCAUCCAAUAAAUUAUCCUACUGGUCAGCGGGAUGUGCAAUGUGUGAGAAUACUUCCUUGAUUUAUUGUUUUGUCACAAGUCGAGUGGCUUGUGGCAGUAUUUUGGACUCACGAAAGUAUACUAGCUUAUAUUUUUGUAUUCUUGGAGAAAACGAACAUUUGUUUUCUCACUAAAACUCUAUAAAAUUCUUAGAAAACGUGCUGAAAGGCACGCAUAUGCAGAUAUUUUUUCUCUAACGUUUCACAGCCUUGAACUGCGUAGUCGAUUCCCGACUGAACUUAAGAGAGUUGAGUUUGUUUGAUAUGGCCGUUAAACAAACCGCAACCGUUACACAAAGAAACCAUAAAUUAGUGAAUGCCACUGGCGAGCCAAUGAUAAAGCAUUAUUCAUCACACAAUAAUGUAAACAAAGUUUCCUUGACAUUUUAUUUAUAAAGAUUUCAUUUACAAAAACCA